rnacentral:rRNA from 1 species
GGGUUGUGAGGUUAAGUGACUAAGCGUACACGGUGGAUGCCUAGGCAGUCAGAGGCGAUGAAGGACGUGCUAAUCUGCGAUAAGCGUCGGUGAGCUGAUAUGAAGCAUUAUUAGCCGGCGAUGUCCGAAUGGGGAAACCCAGUGCAAUUCGUUGCACUAUCGUUAAGUGAAUCCAUAGCUUAACGAGGCGAACCAGGGGAACUGAAACAUCUAAGUACCCUGAGGAAAAGAAAUCAACCGAGAUUCCCCCAGUAGCGGCGAGCGAACGGGGAGCAGCCCAGAACCUGAAUCAGUUUGUGCAUUAGUGGAAGCGUCUGGAAAGUCGCGCGAUACCGGGUGAUAGCCCCGUACACGAAGGUGCACAGCUGUGAGUUCGAUGAGUAGGGCGGGACACGUGUUAUCCUGUCUGAAUAUGGGGGGACCAUCCUCCAAGGCUAAAUACUCCUGACUGACCGAUAGUGAACCAGUACCGUGAGGGAAAGGCGAAAAGAACCCCGGCGAGGGGAGUGAAAUAGAACCUGAAACCGUGUACGUACAAGCAGUGGGAGCACCCUUUGGGGUGUGACUGCGUACCUUUUGUAUAAUGGGUCAGCGACUUAUAUUUUGUAGCAAGGUUAACCGAAUAGGGGAGCCGUAGGGAAACCGAGUCUUAACUGGGCGUUGAGUUGCAAGGUAUAGACCCGAAACCCGGUGAUCUAGCCAUGGGCAGGUUGAAGGUUGGGUAACACUAACUGGAGGACCGAACCGACUAAUGUUGAAAAAUUAGCGGAUGACUUGUGGCUGGGGGUGAAAGGCCAAUCAAACCGGGAGAUAGCUGGUUCUCCCCGAAAGCUAUUUAGGUAGCGCCUCGUGAACUCAUCUUCGGGGGUAGAGCACUGUUUCGGCUAGGGGGUCAUCCCGACUUACCAACCCGAUGCAAACUGCGAAUACCGAAGAAUGUUAUCACGGGAGACACACGGCGGGUGCUAACGUCCGUCGUGAAGAGGGAAACAACCCAGACCGCCAGCUAAGGUCCCAAAGUCAUGGUUAAGUGGGAAACGAUGUGGGAAGGCAUAGACAGCCAGGAUGUUGGCUUAGAAGCAGCCAUCAUUUAAAGAAAGCGUAAUAGCUCACUGGUCGAGUCGGCCUGCGCGGAAGAUGUAACGGGGCUAAACCAUGCACCGAAGCUGCGGCAGCGACACUAUGUGUUGUUGGGUAGGGGAGCGUUCUGUAAGCCUGCGAAGGUGACCUGUGAGGGUCGCUGGAGGUAUCAGAAGUGCGAAUGCUGACAUAAGUAACGAUAAAGCGGGUGAAAAGCCCGCUCGCCGGAAGACCAAGGGUUCCUGUCCAACGUUAAUCGGGGCAGGGUAAGUCGACCCCUAAGGCGAGGCCGAAAGGCGUAGUCGAUGGGAAACAGGUUAAUAUUCCUGUACUUGGUGUUAUUGCGAAGGGGGGACGGAGAAGGCUAGGCCGGCCGGGCGACGGUUGUCCCGGUUUAAGCGUGUAGGUGUGAUGACCUGGCAAAUCCGGUCAUCUUCAACACUGAGGCGUGAUGACGAGGCACUACGGUGCUGAAGUGGUUGAUGCCCUGCUUCCAGGAAAAGCCUCUAAGCUCUAGAUAACACUGAAUCGUACCCCAAACCGACACAGGUGGUCAGGUAGAGAAUACCAAGGCGCUUGAGAGAACUCGGGUGAAGGAACUAGGCAAAAUGGUGCCGUAACUUCGGGAGAAGGCACGCUGGCAUGUAGGUGAAGUCCCUCGCGGAUGGAGCUGAAGCCAGUCGAAGAUACCAGCUGGCUGCAACUGUUUAAUAAAAACACAGCACUCUGCAAACACGAAAGUGGACGUAUAGGGUGUGACGCCUGCCCGGUGCUGGAAGGUUAAUUGAUGGGGUCAGCCGCAAGGCGAAGCUCUUGAUCGAAGCCCCAGUAAACGGCGGCCGUAACUAUAACGGUCCUAAGGUAGCGAAAUUCCUUGUCGGGUAAGUUCCGACCUGCACGAAUGGCGUAAUGAUGGCCAGGCUGUCUCCACCCGAGACUCAGUGAAAUUGAACUCGCUGUGAAGAUGCAGUGUACCCGCGGCAAGACGGAAAGACCCCGUGAACCUUUACUAUAGCUUGACACUGAACAUUGAACCUUGAUGUGUAGGAUAGGUGGGAGGCUUUGAAGUGUGGACGCCAGUCUGCAUGGAGCCGACCUUGAAAUACCACCCUUUAAUGUUUGAUGUUCUAACCUGGUCCCGUAAUCCGGGAUAGGGACAGUGUCUGGUGGGUAGUUUGACUGGGGCGGUCUCCUCCCAAAGCGUAACGGAGGAGCACGAAGGUUAGCUAAUCCUGGUCGGACAUCAGGAGGUUAGUGCAAAGGCAUAAGCUAGCUUGACUGCGAGAGUGACGGCUCGAGCAGGUGCGAAAGCAGGUCUUAGUGAUCCGGUGGUUCUGAAUGGAAGGGCCAUCGCUCAACGGAUAAAAGGUACUCCGGGGAUAACAGGCUGAUACCGCCCAAGAGUUCAUAUCGACGGCGGUGUUUGGCACCUCGAUGUCGGCUCAUCACAUCCUGGGGCUGAAGUAGGUCCCAAGGGUAUGGCUGUUCGCCAUUUAAAGUGGUACGCGAGCUGGGUUUAGAACGUCGUGAGACAGUUCGGUCCCUAUCUGCCGUGGGCGUUGGAAGAUUGAGAGGGGCUGCUCCUAGUACGAGAGGACCGGAGUGGACGCACCGCUGGUGUUCGGGUUGUGAUGCCAAUUGCAUUGCCCGGUAGCUACGUGCGGAAGAGAUAAGCGCUGAAAGCAUCUAAGCGCGAAACUUGCCUCGAGAUGAGUCUUCCCUUGGACCUUGAGUCCACUAAAGGAACGUUUAAGACUAAGACGUUGAUAGGCUGGGUGUGUAAGCGUAGCGAUACGUUGAGCUAACCAGUACUAAUGAUCCGUGAGGCUUAACCUUACAACACCGAAGGUGUUUUAG